ensembl:lncRNA
GGUUUUCCAAAGAGGCCCACAUCCUAAUCCUCAGAACCUGUGAGUUUGUUUCCUUCUAUGGAAGAAGGUCUUAUAGGUGUGAGGCUCUUGAGAUGAGGGGGCGGGGCUCAUGAAUAGUCAGGUGUGUCCAAUAUAAGGCACCUUAUAAGAGGGAGGCAGAUGGUACGGAGUCAGAAGAGGAGGUGUGGAGCUGUGCUGAGAGAGCGAAGGGUGGGAUGACGCCAUUGCUGGAAGUCCUAAGCCAAAGUAUGCCAACACCCUCCAGAAUCUGGGAAAAGUCCAUACGUGCGCUUUGAUCUAAAAUGAACCUCUUGUGGAAAGACUGGCAUAGAGUUGGAUCAUGUGUUUUUAUCCAUUUUGCCAAUACGUCUUUUGAAUGGGGAGUUUAAUCUGCUUACAUUUAGGAGUAAUUACUGCAUCAGGGUCUUUUCCAAUGAGUUGGCUCUUCACAUCAGAUGGCCAAAGUAUUAGAGCUUCAGCGCCAGUCCUCCCAGUGAAUAUUCAAGAUUGAUUUCCUUUAGGAUUGACUGGUUGGAUCUCCUUGCAGUCCAAGGAAUUCUCAAGAGUCUUCUCCAGCACCACAGUUCAGAAGCAUCAAUUCUUUGGUGCUCAGCCUUCUUUAUGGGCUUUAUGCCUUUCUCCGUUUAGCCUACAAACAGAGGGCACCCUCUGAACGUCCCAGGACUUCACUGGCCAUGGGGGCCACAAUGGCCAAGAGGAGGCAAAGCUGAGUGGGCCCUUCCCAGCAGGCUGUGGGUGGAUUCUUUACCAUCUGAGCCACCAGGGAAGCCCAUAGUCACAACUCUAGCUGACCAUGAAACCAGACAAAGGUAGAGACCGGAAGUCCUAUUUCCACCUGGCCACCAGACAGAGCCCAAAAUUGAAGCAAACACAGAAGAAGCAAGAAGCAGAGAUAGGGGGGAACCAAGGCCUGCUAGCACGUGAGUCCUUGGAGUUAGCCAUGCCCGAAAUAGCUGCAUCCUUGCACCUCUCAGUUCAAGUUCUACUUAUUUUCGGAGAGAGGUCUGCCUCUUGGAGUGACUUUAACAAAUUCAUGAAAAGUCAUUUGACAAGUUUAUAAAAGUUCACUUCACAGAUUCAUAAAAGCCAGACUUGCCUUGACAUUCUGCCAGAAGGAUCAGUUUCUUCUUCUUGAAUGCAUAUUAUUUUUAACGAUACUAACUUUAUUCUCAUUUUAUUAUUAAAAUUAUAUGUGCUUUUGUAAAUUAAAAAUAAUGGGUAGUAAAACAGAUGUAGACAGGUAAAGACAAAACUAGAAAGUCCCUUAAAAUCCACUACCCAGAAAUAAUCAUUCUUCGCAUUUGGUGAACAGAAUGCACCAGUAAGAACCCACACUGCCUCUUUUAAAAAUGAUCCAGUACUUUAGAUUUUUCUUUUCAUGAUUUCAUGAAAAAUCUAGAAGUCCUUCUGUCCUUCCGCCCAGUUGCUGAGCCAGGGCACACAGACAGUCAAGACCUGACCUUUGGGAAGCAGGUGCCCCAGUUACAAAACACAGGUCUCCCCUCUGAGAUCCACAGAGUUGGUGUGAGCAUGGAUUCAAAGAGAAAAACAGCAGUGGGGAGAUAGCUGAAGGGUAAUGAAAUGACAGUCCAGUGAACAUGUUUCAAAAGCACAUUCAAUUUUGAAAGACAGAAAUAUUAAAUUAGCAAAAGGGAACAUGUUAGACCCAACAGAGCCAAGUUUCCGAAUGUCUUUUUGAAAUAAUUAACUCCAGGCAUAGGGAAUCGGGUAUAUUCACUGCAAGUGGGAGAUGACAGCGGGACCCAAAGCUGGAAGGUGCAUCUGGAGACGGGUGUGUGGAGGAGAGCUUGGAGGAGCCCACUGGUUCCAUUUUCAGGGUCCUAGGAUGAAGGACCAGGAACUAGAAGGCAGGAUUCUGGAAGGACUCAUUGCAAGGGCGUCUGGAAUGGCUCCCGGCAGGGUGCGUGCCCUCUCAUUUCUCACAGUCAGCCACCUGCUUUGGAAUCAAGGAAGCUCAUUAAAGACACAGAGUCUUUGGUGCCUCUGAGCCUUCCUCACCAGGGUCCUGGGGUCAAGGCUCAGGGGCUUUGUGGGUCACAGGGUCUCCAGAUGAUUCUGAGAUCUUCAACGAGUCACUCAGGACCUGGAUGAUUCGUUGUGAGCACUUAAAAGCAUGGAGGAGAAGCAGAAAUGCCGCAGAAAUGCCGCAAUCUGGUUUUAUGUGAGAACAUGUGCCAAAGCCUUAAAUUCUGAGGAGGACAGAGAACGCUCAGUCCAAGGAGUGAUUUGUUUUGUGUAAUUUCCUGGAGUUUUCAUUCUUAUUCUCCAGAAUUCCCUGAUGCCAGCAGGACAUUAAGCAACUAUUAACUUUAGUCGUUGCCCAUUUUACAGACAUGGAAACUGAAAUGAAGGUGACUCAGCUGUUGCCUAGACACCGACCAUUUGGGUCUGCAGACCUCUAGCCUCUCACUUCCCCCUCCCCAAGUGCCCUUCCUCUCAAGAGUUUGUGAUCCAGACUUGUCCUUCUGGGACUUCCCUGGUAGUCCAGUGGCUAAGACUCCACGCUUCCACUGGAGAGGGUGAGAGUUCAAUCCUUGGUCAGGGAACUAAGAUCCCACAUGCAUAGCAUGGCCAGAAAAAACUUGUCCUUCCCUGCUUAGAGGGAGGCAAGAUAGGGCACCUGGUCAAAAGAUGUUUAUCAGCCAUCCCUCAGGCCCUGUACUGAUUGCCUCAUCUAAUCUUCCACUCAAGGAAGUAAGUUCAGUUCAGUCGCUCAGUCGUGCCCAACUCUUUGCAACCCCAUGAAUUGCAGCACGCCAGGCCUCCCUGACCA